rnacentral:rRNA from 1 species
GGCUUCCUACGGGAGGCAGCAGUGGGGAAUAUUGGGCAAUGGGCGCAAGCCUGACCCAGCAACGCCGCGUGAAGGAAGAAGGCUUUCGGGUUGUAAACUUCUUUUCUCAGGGACGAAGAAAGUGACGGUACCUGAGGAAUAAGCCACGGCUAACUACGUGCCAGCAGCCGCGGUAAUACGUAGGUGGCAAGCGUUAUCCGGAUUUACUGGGUGUAAAGGGCGUGUAGGCGGGGAAGCCAGUCAG